ensembl:piRNA 21ur-13386 ncRNA
UCCAUUGUAUCAAAUUCAAAC